CGCAUCUGUGCAUGCAGCAUAUCAAUAAGCGGAGGAAAAGAAACUAACAAGGAUUCCCCUAGUAACGGCGAGUGAAGCGGGAAGAGCUCAAAUUUGAAAUCUUAAAGGGUUUCCCUUUACGAAUUGUAGUUUAAAGAAGUGUUUUCUGUUGAGGUUUUGGUAAAAGUUCUUUGGAAUAGGACAUCAUAGAGGGUGAGAAUCCCGUAUUUGACCUUUACUUUCAACUUUGUGAUACACUUUCAAAGAGUCGGAUUGUUUGGGAAUGCAGUCCAAAAUGGGUGGUAAAUUUCAUCUAAAGCUAAAUAUUGGCGAGAGACCGAUAGCGAACAAGUACCGUGAGGGAAAGAUGAAAAGAACUUUGAAAAGAGAGUUAAACAGUACGUGAAAUUGUCAAAAGGGAAGCGUUUGACACCAGUGUUGUUUUUCUGAAAAUCAAUUAAAGAACUGUUUAUGCUAAGCUGUUUAGACUUUAUCAGCUAUCUGUUUAGUUUUGAGCUUUUCUUUAAUGCACUUUUCAGUUAACAAGUCAACAUCAAUUUCUUUUGCUGUAAAAAAGCUUGAGGAAGGUGGCUUGAGAUUCGUCUUAAGUGUUUAUAGCCUCUUGCCUACUGCAGUCGGAGAGAUUGAGGUCUGCAGCGUAGAUCCUUCGGGGCUAAAUGCAUUUGUGCUAAGUUAUAGCAUUUUAUAGACAACUUGUUGACUAUGAUUUGUCUUGUAGCUUACUCGCUUAUGUUAUUUUACCUACGCUUAGGAUGUUGAGUCGUAGAGCACGCAG
rnacentral:rRNA from 1 species